ensembl:lncRNA
CUCAGCCAUAUAUAUACAUGUUUCCAUUCUCCCCCAAACCCCUCUCCCAUCCAGGCUGGCACAGAACAUUGAGCAGAGUUCCAUGUGCUGUACAAUAGGUCCUUGUUGGUCAUCCAUUUUAAAUAUAGCAGUGUGUACAUGACCUUCCCAAAGUCCUGAACUAUCCCUUCACUCCAGCAAACAUGAGUUUGUUUUCUAAGUCUGUGAGUCUCUGUUUUGUACGUACAUUCAUUUGUAUCAUUUCUUUUUAGAUUCCACAUGUAAGGGAUGGCAUAUGAUAUUUCUCCUUCUUUGUCUGCCUUGCUUCACUCAGUAUGACACUCUAGGUCCAUCCAUGUUGUGGCAAAUGGCCUUGUUUCCAAACGCCUCAUUCUUGACCUCCAUCCUGAACUCCUUUCAUGGGGUGUUGAAGGUCAGCAGCUGCAGCGGCUCACGAUUUAAUCCUUAUAGAGGUCGAUGGCAAGUGCAAUUUGUAAUCGGCAAUAUACAUCAAUUUGCACUUCUUUAGUGUCAAUUUUUUCCCAAUUAAUAGCUCUUUAAAAUGUUUAUGCUUAUAAUACAAAACAGUAUUCUUUAUAUGGAGAUUUCUUUUUUGUAAUUGAACUUUGGGGUAGGCUCUCAAACCAUAGUUUGAUUUUUUUUUCCACUGCCCAGUCUGAUAAUAUUUCUUGUAACGUGGCUUAACAUUUUAAAUUGAAAAAUAGUACUUCUGAUUGACUUAUAGCAACUUUGCAUGGGUGGGGGGCAAAAUUAUGUCUAAUUUUUGUAUGCACAUCUGACAAUAUGCUUUUUGUUCAUCUUUGAUGUGUUUUUCUCCUGUGACUCCCAACAUCCUGUGCUGGGAACAGGAGAAAGAUGAAUGAAAAUCUGUGGCUGUUCUCCCCUUAAUGCUCCCAUUAGACAGUGAAAGUGUGGAUCCCUCUUAAGUUUUUAAUGAUGUGUUACUAUGUUGAACAAGUGGGAGGAACACAAACCAACCAUGCUGUUAAAAAUACAUCUUUUGGCUCGCAUCUGUUUGCAUAGAUGGUUUCCCAUGGUAUGAAACAAAAAGUGCAACAAAUUAGGGUUGCCACUCCUUAGUGCUUUUUUCCAAAGUGCAUUGAAUGAAAGAUUUAAAACAGAGAUGGAAUUCCAAAGAAAACAGGUGGCGUGAGAGCUGGACUUGAUGUUGGCCAGAUCCUCUGUGGCACAGAUUCACUCUCUCGAAGCAACUGUCUGUCCCAUGAAAGCUUUUUGGAACUGAUUACAAGGAACAUGAUGUAUGAUGAGUGUUGAGAGUUGACCUCAUGGUUGGACACUUUGGGAGGACUGUGAGAAAGGAUUAUUUGCUGAUAGGUACAUGUACAUGAAAAGUUAUCCACUUUAUAAUGUAAUUUUGAGUUAGAUUAGUGCUUAUUUCUUUGGAAAAGGAGGUACAUUUUAUACUCGGAUGGCAUUUGGCUUUCUACCUUUGUUUCUCCCCUAGGAGGGGUGAUCUAACUGGCAAACAUGAUUACACUUAACUAUGCACCUGUGAGUAUGGUUAAGGUGAUGCCUCUUGAAAAAUGGGUGAAACAAUGAGUCUUUGUUUAUUUUCUUCACAAACUGAAAUAUGGCAAAUACUUUACAUAGGACAUAAAUCUGUGAUGACAGGAUCAGUCUAAAAAUUAUGUUCCCAAGAAGAUAGUUCACAAAAACAAUUCUCUUUCUGUAAUUUGUGAAAAUAGGAGUACAACAACUUCACAUACAAAGAAAUAAGGUUAUCAUCAGAUGCAUUUUGGGGUGUCACUUUGGCUUUUUACUGUCACCGAGAGUAUGGUCAUUAACACCAAAGUUGUGACAGCAUCAUAAGAAGAUGUAAUUACUUUAUUACAAUUGAUAAUUAAUAGACCAUCUGGCAACCUGCUUUGCAUUUCACUUGGGAUUAAUUAGUUAAUUUCAGAUCAUAAAGAGGCUUUCCCCUACUAUUCUCAUUAAUCUUAUGAACUAAUAUGUUAUGUUUUUACAUUUUGAAAUUUAUUUAUUAAUUUUUUCAGUUCUAGUAUUUGACUUUUUCAAUUUUUAGUUUAUAUUGGAGUCCUAUGAAAAACAUAGGAGAUACAAAGGAAUGCAUGAUUUAAAGGGAAAAUAAACUAAUAUACUUAACUGCCUAAAAAAUACCAACUUUGGAGAACCGUAAAGAUUUUAACCUGCAACUGUCGAGGAACAUAAUCCUGGAAGUGCCGAUGGUUUGGGUUUCUCAGGCGUGAAAUUCUCCAGGCCGGAAUACUGGAGUGGGUAGCUGUUCUCUUCUCCAGGGGAUCUUCCCAACCCAGGGAUCAAACCCAGGUCUCCCACGUUGCAGGUGGAUUCUUUACCAGCUGAGCCGCAAGGGAAGCUCAAGAAUACUGGAGUGGGUGCUGCUGCUGCUGCUAAGUCACUUCAGUCGUGUCCGACUCUGUGCGACCCCAUAGACAGCAGCCUACCAGGCUCCACGUCCCUGGGAUUAGCCUAUCCCAUUUUCAGCGGAUCUUCAUGACCCAGGAAUUAAACCGCGGUCUCCUGCAUUGCAGGCAGAUUCUUUACCAACUGAGCCAUCAGGGAAGCUCUGUCAGGGGUAAGUUUGUUGAAUUUGAGGUGGCAGCAUGUGACAAUAUUGAACUCAUUUUUCUGUUCCCAGGUAAAAGAUUAAGUCUGGAGGUGACCAGAGCUACUGUGUUCUAAUGACCACUUAGUCAUAGUUGGUCAGUCCUAGAAAGCCACGUGCAGAUGAUACUCCUAAGAAGCCACAUGCAGAUGAUAAUCGCAGGCAUUUGGAGUGAAUGAACCCCCUGAAGAAACAGGAAGAAACCACGAAGAGAGCGGUAAAGGCGCAGCGGCAAGAGCAAAGCUAACGUAGUUGUGGGUGCCCGGAGCCAGGGCAGGGCUGGAGGGGCAGGUGGACAAAAACGCCAAACGCCAGGGCGGUCGAGGCGAAUAAGAGAGGAGGAAAGUCCGUUCACCUUAGUUUUUCAUUUUAACUAAGGUUUUUAAUUAAAAUUCAAGUUUUUCAAGUUACCACGAGUGGGUAACUUUAAAGCUGUCUGUCAUGCUCGACAGAUUAUUGUUGUUGUUUUGUCUCCAAGUCACGUCUGACUCUUUUGUGACCCCAUGGACACGUCUGACUCUUUUGUGACCCCGUGGACUGUGGCCCGCCAGGCCCCUCUGUCCAUGGGAUUUCCCAGGCAAGAAUACUGGAGUGGGUUGCCAUUCCUUCUCCAGGGGAUGUUCCCAACCCAGGGAUUGAACCUGAGUCUCCUGCAUUGGCAGCAGGUUCUUCACCACUGAGCCCCCAGGGAAGCCCUCUCAACAGAUUACCUGUAAUGAAACCUCUAGGUUAAAACCUAUUUUGAGGCUCAGCAUAAGUAUUUCCUUCUUUAAAAGUUUCCCUAGCACACGUGUUGAAUAUGUACAUAUUUAAUUUAGAAUUGUUGGGAAAAUGGGUUGACUGCAUUAUAUCUAGGUUGGUUAUGGUUUAAAAUGAUCUGAUCUUUAAUGGCAAGGUGACUGAUUAUGGCUGAGUUACUUAGUCUUAGUCUUACUGAGAGUGACAUCAUUGUGACCACUAUAACAGGCAGGGGAAGACAGGGUAUUUCAGGCUGUUUCAGGAGGAAUAGAAUAGAGACCCUCACAAAACAGAGCAGCUCCUGAUCAGAAGUCCUUGUGAUCUGGAAGAAUGAUGGUGAUCAGAGACAGGCUUCUCUGGGAAUCAAGAAAGACCCAGAAUAGGCCCAUUGAGUAUAUCGGAGCUUUUGGCACCUGAGAAACAUAGCAGCAAGAGAGUCUACCUUUUAAACAUUGAAACUUGACUUAGAAAGAAGAGUGAAUCCCCUUAUAAAGGGAAGGCUGAGCGAUGAUCUGCAUAAGCACACUGAGAAAC